AAAUCAAUUGAGCCUACAAUUAUUCCAAAAAAUCAUGUUACUCAAGAUCUUUACUAUUAUUUAGCUGAUUAUUACUUGAAAAACAAAGAGGUUCGAGAAGCCAUCAAAUUUUAUAUUCUUGAUCUAACUUUAAAUUGCAAUCGAUUUGAUUCAUGGGCUGGUUGUACUCUCGCAAUGAAAAAUCUAAUCUACCAUUGCUAUUCUUUGCCAAGUUGUCAAGUUUUCUACUCAGCUAUUGAUGAAGUGUUGCUUUUGGGAGAGAAAGCAAGUCGAUGUUACAAUGAAGCACUUCGACUUAAAGAAGGUGAAUCUAAAUUAAUGAUUAAAUAUGGAAAGUGUGCUUAUAACAUCGCGAGUUAUAUUUCUCGAGUCAUAA